CGCGAAGAGGUGAAACAUGGCCUAGAUCGUCCGAUCUAGGACUUUCUUAGCAAAUCCGAGACUGUGAGCUAAUAAAGCAAGUGUAAAGGGACCGAAUCGUGGUCUGCUGGUGGUUCAGAAAUUCAACUUUGGCCUUUGACGACAAAGAUCGGUGGUUUGGCAUUUGCAUUGAGUCGGCCUUCAAAAUCCCAUCGCCGGAGCCGGUAGACCCUACCAGUGCAUUUCCCCAUGGCAAACGGCCAUUCAAGUGUUCGAAUUAAAGAUGGCCAAGGAUCAAGAUUGCAAAUGUUGAGAGGUUUCCUCUUUGUUUGACCAAUGAGAACUUUCCACCCUUCACGUAAAGCUCAAAAUUCAGCUCAAUGUUAGGCAAGAAUUAUUAUUUGUGCACACCAAUUCUCUUUUUUUAUAUUUAUGGUCUGGGUUCGACUACAACUUUCUGGAUCUCCAUCAUUGACAGCCGGGAAGUUGGGAUCAUUGAAUGAUGAGAGAGAAGUCUUACGUUAUAAGCAUUAGCAUGUAAUUAAUUAAGUCAUCGAAGAAACUUUUUCGAUCAAUGAGUAUUUCGGAUUAUGGGUGAAACCAAUGAGGAUUGAAUCAUUAUUGCAGCUUUGAGUUUAAUGUAAUCAGUUGAGAUUUGCAUGUUGGGUCAGCUUUGAUGUUGAGCCUUGUGCUCUAAGAAUGUAUGAUUGAUCCUUACCAUAUGCUAACCAGUGGCAUACAAAAUCUUUGUUUGUGUAAAA